CUCGUAACUACUCUGCAAAAUUGGGUCUUUAAUGAGACAAAACCUACCCAUCUACUACUAAAAUCUCUCGUGAUGAUGCAAUCGGGACUAACAUCAUAUGUGUACAGAGUGCAGGAGGCAAUUUUACUGAGAAGUGUUAUUGGAUUCCAGCAUGAUCUAAGAUUUUUCAGAAUCAUACGAAAGAGAAAAGACAACGGAUAUCUGAUCUUGUGGACGCUGUCAUUUUAUGGGGCAAAUAUAUACUUACUUCGGACCAGGUCUUACAGCGAAAAAAUUCAAUACAAGCUCAUGCUGAGGGGGUAAGGGGACAGUCAGAACAAAGUAUCCAGCUGCUACAAUAAUGUUUCUGUACAUUGUAGAGUCUGAUGACAAAAAAAUUGGCUCAUAUUUUUCCAAAAUACGGAAGGUUCACUAAAAGGUUUUAAGGUGGUUUUUGUUGAAGUUGAAGGAUAAUUACCCUGUAUGAACAGGCCUCCAAAAACUUUGCUUCUAUCUAGGAAAUGCAUCCCUGGGUCGUUCUCACCUGAUCUCAAUCCUCUGCCUACAGUAUUAGAAGCCUUUUGAAGUACAAAGUUAAGACCUCUUACUGCAAUGUGGACGAGAAUGGAACACUGGA
rnacentral:lncRNA from 1 species